UUUAUGGAGAGUUUGAUCCUGGCUCAGGACGAACGCUGGCGGCGUGCCUAAUACAUGCAAGUCGAGCGGAGUUGAUGGAGUGCUUGCACUCCUGAUGCUUAGCGGCGGACGGGUGAGUAACACGUAGGCAACCUGCCCGUAAGACUGGGAUAACAUUCGGAAACGAAUGCUAAUACCGGAUACGCGAUUUUCUCGCAUGAGGGAAUCGGGAAAGAAGG
rnacentral:rRNA from 1 species